UUGCUCCCCUAGAAACAGAUAUGCAGUCCAUUGUGGGCCAGCAAGUGAGUGCUGAGAACCCAGUCUGGGUCUUCUGUAAGAGCAGCAAGUCCUCUUAACCAUGGGGCCAUCUCUGCAGUCCAAGUCAUCAAAUAUUAAACGUUAUAUAUUUGGGAAUGUGAUGGUCAGAUGACAAUUAACAUAUCAAGAAAUUGGGAAAUACUUUUCCAAGUCUCUGUCCUGUUUUCCAUGGCCACCAGCAGUGGGUAUGAGAGUUUCAUCCUCCACAACCUGCCAGGACAUUCAAGAAGCCUCAGCCCAACUGAUAGAGCCAAAAUUACCUGCAGAUAUGAUGCAACUAUUCCUAAAAACAUCUCAAAUAUUUUGAAGUUGCAAGUUAAUUAUGAGAAAAGAAACAAAUGUCCAACACCCAGUUUGGGGGAAAUUUUCUAAGGCAGCCACAGGUCUAAUGUUUGCCCAAAUGGAAUCUUUGGAAUCAUAGAGAUACUCCUUCACCUCCCAGCCAGCUCCAUCAGGUCUCUUCUAUGAUAAGAACAACAGGAAGGCAGAGAGAACACGCAGAAGGUUGACAAGAAGCUGACAUGAGCCCUUGUUUCCAUAGAACAGGGGAGAAAACAGUGAACUCUCCAUGCAAAACCAGCUCCUGGAGAAGAACCAAGUGUGGUGUGGUCUUGUCAGCCUGUUACCUGAGCAAGAGUGACAAGAUCAUGUGGGACUCACCAGGGUCUGGGUCAUUGUUCUGCACACACAACCACAGAGAGUACAACAGCAGCCUCCAGUCCCUUGUUGCUGACCUUUGAGGAAGCUGGGCAUGUAAGAUUGAAUUAAAGACCAGACGUGAUAGUAGUAGCCAACCUACUAUUUUAUAAUAUAUAUGAAUUUAAUUGGAGUUACCUGACGAAAGGGAUGAUGCUUCUCCCAGAAGCCAUGGAUUAUUAAAAAGCCCAGUGCCAAGUGUGGAACACCCCCUCCAGCUGUUGGUCAGGGCUGUUCCAGUGAUCCCCCAAAACAAUGCAGAAGCUUCUCAGUCUGGACAGCCAUCAGAAAGAAGUGGCUAUGCCACACCCCACUUCUCAGGUAUUGAUUCAGUGUCUGUUGUGGACCCAGAUAUCUAACAUUUUAAUAAGCAUGAUUUAGUGUCUGUCGUGGACACAGAUAUCUACCAUUUUAAUAAGCACUCCCUGCAAAUGUGAUGCAGUAAUGCAUGGCCCUUUCGGGGAAAUGGUCUGAUGGGGAUGGCGUCCAUUUCAGUCCUGGUCAUUUAAAGGAACCCAUGCAGACUUCUGUCAUCUGGGGAGUCUAUGAAUGUCAUUGUUCCACAGUGUGCUGC